rnacentral:rRNA from 1 species
CACGUAGGCGGAUCAGUCAGUCAGGGGUGAAAUCCCGGGGCUCAACCCCGGAACUGCCUUUGAUACUGCUGGUCUUGAGGUCGAGAGAGGUGAGUGGAAUUCCGAGUGUAGAGGUGAAAUUCGUAGAUAUUCGGAGGAACACCAGUGGCGAAGGCGGCUCACUGGCUCGAUACUGACGCUGAGGUGCGAAAGCGUGGGGAGCAAACA